AUGUGGUGAAGGGGAGGAAGGCAGCAAAUCACACUGCCAUGUGUGUACCUAUGCAACUAUCUUGCAUGUUCUGCACAUGUACCCCAAAACCUAAAAUGCAAUUAAAAAAAAAAAAGAUUUAAUGAGUCUCAGUUCCAGCAGUCUUUGAAUGUUAUUUUAUUUGCUUUAUGUUGUGUGGCAACCUUAAUGAGUAAAACAAAUCAGUGAGUAUUUUUACCUAUUUUUGUCCUUCUUUUUACCUUUUUUUGCUACUUUCUGUACUUCAAUAAAUACAUGUAUUAAGUGAAAAAAUAAAAUCCCUACUUGCUAAUUCUAUAGGACCUGUCAUAGAAGUUUCUCUUAUACUGGCUCCAUGUCACCAAUUUGGUUCCUGUGCUCCAGUUGGCUGGCAUUAAGUGCAGUUUAAACUUGGAAUUAAUUAAUUCAAGUGACAUUUGAAAUCAUGAACUUAAUAUCAGGGCAAUAAACUAUGGGAGUUGUAUCAGUCAUGUUCAAAACCAGAAAAGAGAAACUCAAUUAAAUAUUUAAAGUAGAUGAACCUUAGCAUAGGGAAUUGGUUUAAAAUGUGAGGGAAUAGCUAAGAACAAAAAAGAGGAGAGCGUGGCAAUCUGAGCAUUACUCAAAGCAGGAAAGCUCUUUCACUCCUCAGGGUGGAGAAACAAAGGGAGGCUAUGAUGUCAUAGAGCCUGAGAAUCAAGGGUUAACUGAUGGAAUAUGGAACCAAGGUGGAGCUCUCAGAUAGGAGAUAGAGUCAUGGAUGGGGCUCUGUCCCAACUCACACAAGGACUGUUAGAUAUCCGCUCUGAGCCAAGAGACAGAAUGGUGGAGUGAUUAAACACCAUGAAUGGAUUUAAAUCCAGGCUCUAUGAAUGAUGGUAUGAACCUAGGCAGCUUAUCUGUACCUCAAUUUUCUCAUCUAUAAAAUAGGUAUAAUAGAACCCAAAUCAUAGGGUAAUUAGUCAGAUGAAGUUUGUUAAAAUGUAUAAAGUACUUAGAAUCAAAUCUAGUGUGUCAUAAGCAUAAUACAUGUUUGUAAAAAUAAUUUUAAAAUAAUUAAGCAUAAUAAUGGAAAUGAAAAAAUUAGCAAUGAGGUUUAUCCACAUGAUAUCAAUAUCUGACUAUGUUUUAGAGAUGCAAGAGAAUAGAGGUCCUCAGUUAUUUUAAUUAUCUAAACAGUAAAAUUAUGGAAAUGAUUUAUUGUUAUACACAUUUUGAAGAUGUGAAAACUGAGGCUAAGCAAGAUAAUAUUACUAACUCAUCAAUGAGUUAACACAAGCUGGGACUACAGUACAUUGCUUUCAUUUGGUUCAACAUUUGCAAAAUAUUGAUUAUUUGCCAAGCUCUUAAUAGGCCCCAGAAUUACAGAGAAGGUGAUCUAAAUUUAAAGAAAAGAAAACAUGUUUGGGAUAUCAUUUAGAAAAAGAAUACCACAUUAAAAAAAUGGGAGUGAAAAAUAACAAAUAUAUUUUCAUGUUACAGCUAAGGAAACAUGUGGAUGCAUUAAAAAAAAAUAGGAAAUCUAUUUACUAAGAAUGAUGCUGGCAGUUUUAUUUUUUAAUUUUUGAGGAGCCUUUAUACAGUUUCUCAUAGUAUCUGCAUCAUCCUUCAUUCUCACCAACAGUAUACAAGGGUUCUGAUUUCUUCACAUACUUGCCAACACUUUUUUUCUUUGUGGGUAGGUCCACACAUACAUUAGGUGUGAAUAAUACCCAUCCUAACAGGUAAGGCAGGAGAUGAUGUCUGUGGCUUUGAUGUGCAUUUCCCUGAUGAUUAGUGAUGUUGAAUGCUUUUUCCUAAACCUAAAUCAGGU
rnacentral:lncRNA from 13 species